rnacentral:rRNA from 1 species
UACGUAGGGUGCAAGCGUUGUCCGGAAUUAUUGGGCGUAAAGAGCUCGUAGGCGGUCUGUCGCGUCGGCUGUGAAAACUCGGGGCUCAACCCCGAGCCUGCAGUCGAUACGGGCAGACUAGAGUUCGGUAGGGGAGACUGGAAUUCCUGGUGUAGCGGUGAAAUGCGCAGAUAUCAGGAGGAACACCAGUGGCGAAGGCGGCUCGCUGGGCCAGUUCUGACACUCAUCCGCGAAAGCGUGGGGAGCAAACAGG